rfam:Stegodyphus mimosarum contig11877, whole genome shotgun sequence.
GUGGGCUACGGCGAUAUGAGGCCAAUCGGCGUCUGGGGCAAAAUAGUGGGCUCCCUCUGCGCCAUUGCCGGCGUCCUAACCAUCGCCCUUCCCGUGCCAGUAAUAGUCUCCAAU